UUGAAAAAAAAAAGUUUUAUGGGUUUUAUGUAAAAAAAAAAAUGAAUUUGAAGAGAGUAAAGUCACAUUUUCAGUAAAUUUUAUAAAAUUUAAAAUAUAUAUAUAACUAGUGCAACGCUACGGUGUGAUCGUUGCGCAAAAAGUCUUUGCGCGACGUCAUAAUGUAUACAUGCAUUGCGCAAAUUGUUAAAAUUUUGACGGUGCAAUUGAAGAAAAUAAGCGCAUUUCAAAAAAAAAAAAAAAAUUGGACAAAAUGGGGGUGCAAUUGAAGAAAAGAGUCCAGCAGCCACUCGAUCGGUCUCUCUCGUCCCACUCGCUCAUCUCGCCCUCUCUCUCACUCCAUCUCACUCUUUUCUCCCACUCCAUUAGACGAAGACAAAGACGAAGGAAGACAGCUGCCACUACCCACCCAUCUGCUCUUCCUCCGCUCCAACCUCCGUCGGAAUUCCUCACCCUUUCCUCAAUUCCGAAGGUUGUUCCAAGUCUCUGCUGGGGUCGUAAAGAAAGGAAUAAAGCUAAAAUAUGAAGAAAAAUCUGUACGGUUUCUACUUCUUUCGAAUAUCAUUUAUCAGCAUCAUCGAUCCAUCCUCAAGUUUUUAAUUAAUAUCUCAAAAUUUCAAUUUCUUAAAGCUUAAUCAAAGGGUGGCAAUCAGUCAGUUACCGGACCCAUGUGAAUCAGAUUCUCACUGAUUAGCUGGGUUUACUGUCCUCAAGUAAUGAUAAUGCUCAUCAUCUUAUUAUCACUGUUGAAUGAGUUUAAAUUUUGAGAUUUGUGUAAGAAAUAGACAUAAAUCUCAAAAAUUAAAUUUAUCUAAUAAUAAUAAGUAUGUGUGAUGAGCAUUACCACCAAACUAAGGGUGUUAAGCCAAAAAGCACUCUUUCACCGUAUGUGAACUAAAUCAAAUAAAGCAUGGUUUCAUUCAUUUAUGAGUAUUCCCAAGGGCCAAACUCCAACUGGUUAGGCUUCAAACUAGUAGCAUAAAGGGAGACACUUCAAAAAAUGCGAGAACUGAGAUAUAUUAAUGAUAAGUGUAGCCACAUGGCAGCAUUACAUCUGUAUAUGCUAUGUCAGCUAAAACACAUAGAUUUGGCUUUAAAGAUUAGUUAUUUGGAUUAGAUUUGGAAACUUAAGUUAGACUGGAUGAGGGGUUUCUUGGUCAUUAAGAAAUUUGUUGUAUUCCUUUAUUUUGGAUAUUCUUGUAAUAGCUCAUUUUGAAAUGAAAAGCUUGUCCAAGGCUCUUCUUUUUCUCUAA